rnacentral:rRNA from 1 species
GACGAACGCUGGCGGCGUGCUUAACACAUGCAAGUCGAGCGAUGAAGCACCUUCGGGUGUGAAUUAGCGGCGAACGGGUGAGGAACACGUGAGAAAUCUGCCUUCAACACUGGGAUAACUCCGGGAAACCGGGGCUAAUACCGGAUAUGAAACCUGCGGGCAUCCGCGGGUUUGGAAAGUUUUUCGGUUGAAGAUGAUCUCGCGGCCUAUCAGCUUGUUGGUGAGGUAAUGGCUCACCAAGGCGACGACGGGUAGCCGGCCUGAGAGGGCGACCGGCCACACUGGGACUGGGACACGGCCCAGACUCCUACGGGAGGCAGCAGUGGGGAAUAUUGGGCAAUGGAGGAAACUCUGACCCAGCGGCGCCGCGUGCGGGAUGAAGGCCUUCGGGUUGUAAACCGCUUUCAGCAGGGAAGAAGCGAAAGUGACGGUACCUGCAGAAGAAGCACCGGCUAACUAUGUGCCAGCCGCCGCAGUAA